UACGGAGGGUGCGAGCGUUAAUCGGAAUCACUGGGCGUAAAGCGCGCGUAGGCGGCUUUUCAAGUCAGGGGUGAAAUCCCACGGCCCAACCGUGGAACUGCCUUUGAAACUGUAGAGCUUGAGUGUCGGAGAGGGUGGCGGAAUUCCAGGUGUAGGAGUGAAAUCCGUAGAUAUCUGGAGGAACACCGGUGGCGGAGGCGGCCACCUGGACGACAACUGACGCUGAGGUGCGAAAGCGUGGGUAGCAAACAGG
rnacentral:rRNA from 1 species